rnacentral:pre_miRNA from 1 species
CAUAGGGUGAAUCUCGGCCCUCCAAAACAAAUCCAACAGCUGAGAUUCGUCCACGUCAUCAUGAGUAAAAAUUUUACUCCCAGUAAAACUUUUACUCCAGGAAUUUUACUCCUAGUAAAAUUUUUACUCCUGAGUAAAUCUGCAAUUUUACUCCUAGUAAAAUUUUUACUCCUGAGUAAAUCUGCGAGUAAAAUUUUUACUCGUGAUGACGUGGACGAAUCUCAGCCGUUGGAUUUGUUUUGGAGGGCCAAGAUUCACCCUAUG